GGAUCAAUUGCAACUGAGGUUGUGAAUUUGGAUGAUUGGGUUGAUGAUCCCAUUGAUAGAAUUAGGGAAGGUAUUAGGUUGAGGUCUUGACAGCAGUAUAGAUGGAGACAGGUUACAAUCCCGCCUGUAAGUAGGAACCUUCCGAUGGAAUUGGAUCAGCUGCUCAGCCAUUCCGCUGAUGUGCCUACUUUACAGACAGGUGAGGGCAGUCAGUAGUGUUGCUGCUGAGGAAAAAUCCA
rnacentral:lncRNA from 1 species